GGCCUUAUCGUCUAGUGGUUAGGACAUCACCCUCUCAAGGUGGAGACACGGGUUCGACUCCCGUUAGGGCUACCA
rnacentral:tRNA from 1 species